rnacentral:tRNA from 1 species
GCCGGUGUAGCUCAGUUGGUAGAGCAGGGGUUUUGUAAACCUCUUGUUGGGAGUUCGAUUCUUCUCACCGGCUCCA